rnacentral:rRNA from 1 species
GAUAAACGCUGGCGGCGUGCCUAAAACAUGCAAGUCGAACGGUUCACAGUCUUCGGAUUGUGGAUAGUGGCGGACGGCUGAGUAACACGUGGGUGACCUGCCCUCGAGCGGGGGAUAACUGCCCGAAAGGGUGGCUAAUACCGCAGACGUUGCACCUUCGGUGGUGUAACUGAACUUGAGGGGCGUCGGGGAGGGGCCCGCGGCCGAUUAGCUAGCUGGUGGGGUAACGGCCUACCAGGGCAUCGANCGGUAGCUGGUCUGAGAGGAUGAUCAGCCAGACUGGGACUGCGAACGGCCCAGACUCCUACGGGAGGCAGCAGUUAGG